rnacentral:rRNA from 1 species
UACAGAGGGUGCGAGCGUUACUCGGAAUUACUGGGCGUAAAGCGCACGUAGGUGGCUUGGCAAGUCGGGUGUGAAAUCCCCGGGCUCAACCUGGGAACUGCAUUCGAGACUGCCGUGCUAGAGUAUGGGAGAGGGAAGUGGAAUUUCCGGUGUAGCGGUGAAAUGCGUAGAUAUCGGAAGGAACAUCAGUGGCGAAGGCGACUUCCUGGACCAAUACUGACGCUCAGGUGCGAAAGCGUGGGGAGCAAACAGG